GAUGAACGCUGGCGGCGUGCCUAAUACAUGCAAGUCGAGCGAACAGACGAGGAGCUUGCUCCUCUGACGUUAGCGGCGGACGGGUGAGUAACACGUGGAUAACCUACCUAUAAGACUGGGAUAACUUCGGGAAACCGGAGCUAAUACCGGAUAAUAUAUUGAACCGCAUGGUUCAAUAGUGAAAGACGGUUUUGCUGUCACUUAUAGAUGGAUCCGCGCCGCAUUAGCUAGUUGGUAAGGUAACGGCUUACCAAGGCAACGAUGCGUAGCCGACCUGAGAGGGUGAUCGGCCACACUGGAACUGAGACACGGUCCAGACUCCUACGGGAGGCAGCAGUAGGGAAUCUUCCGCAAAGGGCGAAAGCCUGACGGAGCAACGCCGCGUGAGUGAUGAAGGUCUUCGGAUCGUAAAACUCUGUUAUUAGGGAAGAACGAAUGUGUAAGUAACUAUGCACGUCUUGACGGUACCUAAUCAGAAAGCCACGGCUAACUACGUG
rnacentral:rRNA from 1 species